rnacentral:rRNA from 1 species
CCCUUAGAUGUUCUGGGCCGCACGCGCGCUACACUGAUGCAUUCAACGAGCCUAUCCUUGACCGACAGGUCCGGGUAAUCUUUGAAUCUGCAUCGUGACGGGGAUAGAUUAUUGCAAUUAUUAAUCUUCAACGAGGAAUGCCUAGUAGGCGCAAGUCAUCAGCUUGCGUCGAUUACGUCCCUGCCCUUUGUACACACCGCCCGUCGCUCCUACCGAUUGGUUGUGCUGGUGAAAUGUUCGGAUCGGCCGUUUGUCGCGGUUUCCGCGGCUCGUGGCUGAGAAGUUCAUUAAACCCUCCCACCUAGAGGAAGGAGAAGUCGUAACA